UGCCCCGAAGGCCAGCACACUGCCAGGGCGACGGGAUGAAGGAGGGCGUUUCCCUGGCAACCACAUAGGAGACACCUAGAGGACAGAAAGUUAAAAACCACUCAGGAUGGAGAGCAGCAAGAGGGAGCAAGCUUCUGGACUCUUCUUAUAGGACUAAUCCCAUUCAUG